UCAAAACAGCGGACUUCGGUCUUUGCUGCACCCUUGUCUUUUGCGCACCGAAUUGUUUCCUCGGCGGGCUUGCCUGCCGGUUGGACAUUAUCGAAACCUUUUUGUAGUUGCAAUCAGCGUCAGAAAAAUCAUAAUUAUUA
rnacentral:misc_RNA from 1 species